UACGUAGGGUGCAAGCGUUAAUCGGAAUUACUGGGCGUAAAGCGUGCGCAGGCGGUUAUGUAAGACAGAUGUGAAAUCCCCCGGGCUCAACCUGGGAAUUGCGAUGGAGACUGCAAGGCUAGAAUCUGGCAGAGGGGGGGUAGAAUUCCACGUGUAGCAGUGAAAUGCGUAGAGAUGUGGAGGAACACCGAUGGCGAAGGCAGCCUCCUGGGCUAGUACUGACGC
rnacentral:rRNA from 1 species